rnacentral:rRNA from 1 species
UACAGAGGUCUCGAGCGUUAGGCGGAAUCACUGGGCUUAAAGCGUGUGUAGGCGGAUCGUUAAGUACCUUGUGAAAUCCCACGGCUUAACCGUGGAACUGCUUGGUAUACUGGCGGUCUUGAGCCAGCUAGGGGCUACCGGAACAAAUGGUGGAGCGGUGAAAUGCGUAGAUAUCAUUUGGAACGCCAAUGGUGAAAACAGGUAGCUGGGGCUGUGCUGACGGCUGAGACA